UACGUAGGGUCCGAGCGUUGUCCGGAAUUAUUGGGCGUAAAGGGCUCGUAGGCGGUUUGUCGCGUCGGGAGUGAAAACACGGGGCUUAACCCCGUGCCUGCUUCCGAUACGGGCAGACUAGAGGUAUGCAGGGGAGAACGGAAUUCCUGGUGUAGUGGUGAAAUGCGCAGAUAUCAGGAGGAACACCGGUGGCGAAGGCGGUUCUCUGGGCAUUACCUGACGCUGAGGAGCGAAAGUGUGGGGAGCGAACAGG
rnacentral:rRNA from 1 species